rnacentral:tRNA from 1 species
GCCGGCGUGGCGAAAUGGCGAUACGCGCCGCUUUUAGGUGGCGGUGCCCGAGAGGGCGUGCGGGUUCGAGUCCCGCCGCCGGCACCA